rnacentral:rRNA from 1 species
GGUGAACGCUGGCGGCAGGCCUAACACAUGCAAUUCCAGCGGUGACAGAGAGUAUCUUGCUACUUUGCUGACGAGCGGCGGACGGGUGAGUAAUGCUUGGGAAUAUGGCUUAUGGUGGGGGACAACUGUUGGAAACAACUGCUAAUACCGCAUGAUGUCUUUGGACCGAAUUGGGGGACCUUCGGGCCUCCCCCCUUAAGAUUAUCCCAAGUGGGAUUAACUAGUUGGGGAAGAAAUGGCUCACCAACGCCACCAUCCCUAUCUGGUUUGAGAGGAUGAUCAACCACCCUGGGACUGAGACACAGCCCACACUCCUACUGGAGGCAGCAGUGGGGAAUAUUGCACAAUGGGCGCAAGCCUGAUGCACCCAUGACUCGUGAGUGAAGAAGGCCUUCUGGUUGUAAAGCACUUUCAGUAAGGAGGAAAGGUUGAGUGUUAAUAGCACUUACCUGAGACGUUACUUACAGAAGAAGCACCGGCUAACUCCGUG